AGAGCUAGUCAUUUGACAUCCUAUGACAAAUGUAAAGCCUUUCUUUGUCAAGAACCAUCUUCCAAAGAUAAUGGAAUGGUGGAUUGGGUGUUGUGUGAUGUUUGUCAACAAUGGUACCAUUGGGAUUGCGUUGGCAUUACGACGAAGCCGAAAGGAAAAUUUGAUUGCGGAUGCAAUGAUCUUACUUUACUCAUGGGCCUGCAUAUAUUGUAUACGAAAAACUGAACGUUGUCUCUGAAAUAACGCUGAAAAAAUUUAUAAUUGUGCGCGUGGAGUUCAAGACGGUGCAGACUCUGAAAGUGACUAACCUUGUUGUCUACCGAAGUACCUGAAAGCUGUAGUGGAUCUUGUAGUGGAUACUCUUAUGACUCAAUGUCGUCUAAACAUACUAUUGACGAUGAACUAGCGCUGUUUUUAUAGUUUAGGUUUACUGAAUAAGAUUUUCUUUUUUAGCUAAGUUCUAUUCCUUUAUCAAAAAAUAAUGAAUUCUUGUACAGGAAACAAUUAUACUUCAAUUUUGUCUACAAUUAAAAUAAAAGAUGCUUUUAUUUAACAAA